CCUACGGGAGGCAGCAGUAAGGAAUAUUGGUCAAUGGAGGCAACUCUGAACCAGCCAUGCCGCGUGCAGGAAGACAGCCCUAUGGGUCGUAAACUGCUUUUAUACGGGAAUAAACUUUGAUUCGUGAAUCAAGCUGAAUGUACCGUAAGAAUAAGGAUCGGCUAACUCCGUGCCAGCAGCCGCGGUAAUACGGAGGAUCCAAGCGUUAUCCGGAUUUAUUGGGUUUAAAGGGAGCGUAGGCGGCCUAUUAAGUCAGGGGUGAAAGACGGUGGCUCAACCAUCGCAGUGCCUUUGAUACUGAUGGGCUUGAAUAUAGUUGAGGUAGGCGGAAUGUGACAAGUAGCGGUGAAAUGCAUAGAUAUGUCACAGAACACCGAUUGCGAAGGCAGCUUACUAAGCUAUGAUUGACGCUGAGGCUCGAAAGCGUGGGGAUCAAACAGGAUUAGAUACCCUGGUAGUCCACGCCCUAAACGAUGAUAACUCGAUGUUGGCGAUAUACAGUCAGCGUCCAAGCGAAGGCGUUAAGUUAUCCACCUGGGGAGUACGCCCGCAAGGGUGAAACUCAAAGGAAUUGACGG
rnacentral:rRNA from 1 species